UACGAAGGGGGCUAGCGUUGUUCGGAAUUACUGGGCGUAAAGGGCGCGUAGGCUGUGCUGUAAGUCAGGCGUGAAAUCCCCGGGCUCAACCUGGGAACUGCAUUUGUGACUGCAUCGCUGGAGUACGGCAGAGGGGGAUGGAAUUCCGCGUGUAGCAGUGAAAUGCGUAGAUAUGCGGAGGAACACCGAUGGCGAAGGCAAUCCCCUGGGCCUGUACUGACGCUCAUGCACGAAAGCGUGGGGAGCAAACAGG
rnacentral:rRNA from 1 species